AUAAUUUGCUCUGUGAUCGUUAUUGACUGUGUGGGGCAGUGUUAGGAUUCCCAGCUGCUGUGUGCACAGACUCAGCCUGCAGACACGGGAUGAUCCCUGCUUCCUGCUGCAUGUAAACUGGAGGACAGCAGAGGGCAUUGAAAUAAAACUGCUGGCCUGCUGAAGCACCUUCUUCCUCCCCUGCUUGUGGGAGCAAAGUGUGAACUGCCCCUUUGUCUGCUGUGGAAGGAACACAGAUGGGAGGAGGCUGUUUGUGGCUCAAGACUUGAUGCUGCUGUGGUUGGGAGGAGGAAACAGGUUCCUCAGCUCACAGCUCCUGAACACCUGGUGGGCACCCACAAAACUGCAGAAUGGAUGGGCAGAAAAAGCAUGAGCAGCAACUGCAGGAGUGUGGCUGUUGAGUAAGUGAAGGAAUCCUGCAGGAUCUGCCCUCAGAGGGGGGAGAUCUCCUUGCAGAUCUGCUCCUGUAGAUUGUUUGGGGCAAGAGCUUUUGUGUUUGUGCAGCCUGGUGUAGUGAUUGGCAACCCUGCACAUAGUAGGGGGGUUGAAACUCUAUGACUAUUAUGGUCCUUUUCAACCCAGGCCAUUCUAUGAUUCUCUCAUCUCUUUGUCAACUUGCUCCAGCACUUUGGGAAGAAUAUCAGAGGAAGACUGUGAGAGUGCAAAGGGGAAGGAGGACACACAUGACAACUGACACACGCUACCUCUUUCCAGACCUGGAUAUAAAUGAGAAAAGGUUAAUGAUGCUAUCACAUGACAGAGGUCCAAGCUGCAGACAAAGCUAGCGAAAUGAAGGUGCCAAUAUUCUGAACCUGCAGCACAGGAAGCAUGGAGUCAAGUUGCAUUUCUCAAACCAGCAUCCAAAUUUAACUCCUUGCCCGUGCAGAAGCCG
rnacentral:lncRNA from 1 species